UGUCUUGAUCUGCUCUUUUGACACGAAUAAUAAUAUAAUAGCGUGCUAUUGCAAUAUCAGUAUUUCUCAGAAAAGCUCGGGUUUUUAUUCACAGCAGCAGCAUUACAAAGGCAGGCCGAAUAUAAAAAAUGUGACGACGCCACAGGGGCUCUAGUUUCGUACAGCACAUGGCGGAAACUGUCACGGCGAGGCAAUUUUGCGAGACAACGGGAGUCUCUCGGGUGGUCGUGUGAUCAAGUUUUUGUGAGGAACCUGCAUGAUCUUGCGCAUGAAGUAAUUAUUUUUGGACAGUUCCUUCUCUGGACGGUGUUACAAGUACAGGCAAGCAUCAACGGUUGUUAUUGCUGUACUUUGUGGUGUUGUGAUUCACCAGUGCGGAUCGAAGAGCACCGUUUUCUCCAGCCCUGAUUCUACAAUUUGGAGAUGGGGUACAAGGAGAAGUGCAAGUGUAUUCCACAUCUUGAGGGAGAUGCAAGAUAUGCUUCCGCAAUCCUUGCUGCAAGUGUUCAAAUAAAUGGUUGCAAGUUUCA